GAUGAACGCUGGCGGCGUGCCUAAUACAUGCAAGUCGAGCGAACAGACGAGGAGCUUGCUCCUCUGACGUUAGCGGCGGACGGGUGAGUAACACGUGGAUAACCCACCUAUAAGACUGGGAUAACUGCGGGAAACCGGAGCUAAUACCGGAUAAUAUAUUGAACCGCAUGGUUCAAUAGUGAAAGACGGUUUUGCUGUCACUUAUAGAUGGAUCCGCGCCGCAUUAGCUAGUUGGUAAGGUAACGGCUUACCAAGGCAACGAGGCGUAGCCGACCUGAGAGGGUGAUCGGCCACACUGGAACUGAGACACGGUCCAGACUCCUACGGGAGGCAGCAGUAGGGAAUCUUCCGCAAUGGGCGAAAGCCUGACGGAGCAACGCCGCGUGAGUGAUGAAGGUCUUCGGAUCGUAAAACUCUGUUAUUAGGGAAGAACAAAUGUGUAAGUAACUAUGCACGUCUUGACGGUACCUAAUCAGAAAGCCACGGCUAACUACGUG
rnacentral:rRNA from 1 species